rnacentral:rRNA from 1 species
GAUGAACGCUGGCGGCGUGCCUAAUACAUGCAAGUCGAGCGAACGGACGAGAAGCUUGCUUCUCUGAUGUUAGCGGCGGACGGGUGAGUAACACGUGGAUAACCUACCUAUAAGACUGGGAUAACUUCGGGAAACCGGAGCUAAUACCGGAUGAUAUUUUGAACCGCAUGGUUCAAAAGUGAAAGACGGUCUUGCUGUCACUUAUAGAUGGAUCCGCGCUGCAUUAGCUAGUUGGUAAGGUAACGGCUUACCAAGGCAACGAUGCAUAGCCGACCUGAGAGACUGAUAGGCCACACGAGAAGGGGGACGCGCUCCAGACGACUGCGGGACGCAGCAGUCGCGAAUCGUACGCAAUAGGCGAGAGCAUGACGGAGCAACGCCGCGUGAGUGAUGAAAGUCUUCGGAUCGUAAAGCUCUGUUAUGAGGGAAGAACAUAUGUGUACGUAACUGAGCAGAUCGUGACGGUACCUAAUCAGAAAGCAACGGCUAACUACGUG